rnacentral:rRNA from 1 species
CAGCCGCCGCGGUAAUACAGAGGAUGCAAGCGUUAUCCGGAAUGAUUGGGCGUAAAGCGUCUGUAGGUGGCUUUUCAAGUCCGCCGUCAAAUCCCAGGGCUCAACCCUGGACAGGCGGUGGAAACUACCAAGCUGGAGUACGGUAGGGGCAGAGGGAAUUUCCGGUGUAGCGGUGAAAUGCGUAGAUAUCGGAAGGAACACCUGUGGCGAAAGCGGCUCACUGGACCAUUUCUGACGCUGAUGCACGAAAGCUAGGGGAGCAAACAGGACUAGAUACCCCGGUAGUCCCUGUCUCUUAUAA